rnacentral:ribozyme from 15 species
AAGAGAAAAGAAAGAAGGUAGGCUCACUGGAAUGUAAGGUCAAUAGUCAGAAAGUGUUUCUUGGAUGUAUCUUUAAUGCUUUUGUAAUUCUAUUGCUUUCUUUAUCUUUUAA